GCCUGAAACCCUCUGAGGCGGGUGGCCGGCAGAAGGGCCCCCUCCAAGGGGUCCCCAACCCCUGGGCUGUGGACCAGUACCAAUCCAUGGCCUGUUAGGAACCAGGCCACACAGCAGGAGGCGAGCGGCAGGCAAGCGAGCAUCACCACCUGAGCUCUGCUUCCUGCCAGAGACAUUGCACUCCACAUAGACUCGCUCUGUACCUAGUCUGGAAUGCAGUGGUGUGAUCACGGCUCAGUGCAGCCUCAAACUCCUGGGCUCAAGCAAUCCUACUGCCUCAGCCUCCUGAGUAGCUGGAACCACAGGCAUAUGCCACCAUGCCCAGGGGCCCAGAUGUAAACUGAUCUGAAACUUGUUCAAAUUUACCACCAAAGCAACUCUGGGAAGCAGUACAAAUACAGAGUUCCAUGAGACAACACUUAAGAGUUCCUCUUGGACAGGAAAGCACAUGCAAACACUGUCCAACAUGAGUAUUCAGACAUGCAGAGAAAUCUUAUACCAAGUAUAACCAACCAUAAAUGGGCAAUAUAGCAUUUUUACUGAAAAGGUAAAUAUAGCCUAAUUUACUCUGCUUAAGCAUGAUGCUCAGAUAGGAGAACUAAUCUACCGUGUCCACAGACCAGUGAAUUUACUGUGGGGAAACAGUAAACAGUUGAGGUGACGUCUAUGGUCUAAGGCCUGCAGAAAUUGAGCAAUGGUAAAGCCUCAAGAGGAGAAUGUUACAGGUUAAGAGAGAAAAGGAGCAGGGUAGUGUACCCCUUAGUUUGCUCGACAGAUGAACAGUCUACAAAGUAGAAACAUGACAUUCAGGAGAGCCAGGCACCAGAAGACCCAGAGGGCCAGAGAUCAUUAAAAGGAAAAAGAAAUCAGGAGUGGGAAUCUCAGCCACACUCCCAAAGGUGGAGUGUUCAAGUGCAGGAUGCAGAGAAAGCAAGAUGCACACAUUCUAGACUGUAAGUCAACAAGCAACUUCUCAUCAUUAAAUAAGAAGUGCCUAU
rnacentral:lncRNA from 1 species